rnacentral:rRNA from 1 species
GUGGGGAAUAUUGGACAAUGGGGGGAACCCUGAUCCAGCCAUGCCGCGUGUGUGAAGAAGGCCUUUUGGUUGUAAAGCACUUUAAGCGAGGAGGAGGCUACCGAGAUUAAUACUCUUGGAUAGUGGACGUUACUCGCAGAAUAAGCACCGGCUAACUCUGUGCCAGCAGCCGCGGUAAUACAGAGGGUGCAAGCGUUAAUCGGAUUUACUGGGCGUAAAGGGCGCGUAGGUGGCCAAUUAAGUCAAAUGUGAAAUCCCCGAGCUUAACUUGGGAAUUGCAUGCGAUACUGGUUGGCUAGAGUAUGGGAGAGGAUGGUAGAAUUCCAGGUGUAGCGGUGAAAUGCGUAGAGAUCUGGAGGAAUACCGAUGGCGAAGGCAGCCAUCUGGCCUAAUACUGACACUGAGGUGCGAAAGCAUGGGGAGCAAACAGGAUUAGAUACCCUGGUAGUCC